rnacentral:lncRNA from 1 species
ACCACAUCAGGAGCACCAAUUAUGUGCCUACCUUCGCACCAGACCAGGAGCGUGUGCCAAGAGCAGUGCCUGGGAAUGGGGAUGCCCCAUGAUCAAGAUUCAUGUCUUGAUGUGGCUCUGGCGCAGACCGAGGCAUCAAAUGCCCGAAUAACAGAUUUCCAACCCGGAGUCAGUACUUCACCUACUGGUGAUGCUGACUUUGAAGUGCCUUUUCGUUUCCUGAGUUCAAGUCCAACUUCGGAUCAGGAGGGCUGUCUUUUUGAACUGAGAUUUGUCACCAGACAGUGACCAACUCAUUGAACUUACUGACGCCAAGUGCGAUGACCCCGGCGGCGCUCAGAUUAGGGGACCCAGGUUGUCCAGGCGGAUGUCACCAAGAUAACGGAAUCCUGGAUUGGUUGUGCCAGGCCUUGUGCUUAUUUCACCAGGAGGGCAACUGAGGCUGAAGACAAGGCAAAGCUGGAAGAGAGAAGCGUGGCCUCGAACCUGUCGGAAUUGAAAGGCCUUUGCCUGCGCGGUCCUGGAUCUGGACUGGGCGGGGAAAUCAGGGCCUUCCAAGAGGCAUUUCUAUCACCUCCGCGGCAGCCAAGGGCCGCGGGGGCCCUGGCCAAGGU